GCCAGAUGCAGUGGCACACUCCUGUAGUCCCAGCUACUCGGGAGGCUGAGGCAGGAGGAUCACUUGAGCUCAGGAUUUCUGGGCUAUGGUGUGCUAUGCCAAUCAGGUGUCCUCACUAAGUUUGGCAUCAAUAUGGUGACCUCUUGGGAGGGGGGACCACCAGGUUGCCUAAGGAGGGGUGAACCAGCCCAGGUUGGAAAUGGAGCAGGUAAAACUCCUGUGCUAAUCAGUAGUGGGAUCACGCCCAUGAAUAGCCACUGCACUCCAGCCUGGGCAAUAUAGUAAGACCCCAUCUCU
rnacentral:SRP_RNA from 1 species